AGAGUUUGAUCCUGGCUCAGGAUGAACGCUGGCGGCGUGCUUAACACAUGCAAGUCGAACGAUUAAGACGGCUUCGGCCGUGUAUAGAGUGGCGAACGGGUGAGUAACACGUGACCAACCUGCCCCGCGCUCCGGGACAACCGCUGGAAACGGCGGCUAAUACCGGAUGCUCCGGGGAGGCCCCAUGGCCUCCCCGGGAAAGCCCCGACGGCGCGGGAUGGGGUCGCGGCCCAUUAGGUAGACGGCGGGGUAACGGCCCACCGUGCCCGCGAUGGGUAGCCGGACUGAGAGGUCGACCGGCCACAUUGGGACUGAGAUACGGCCCAGACUCCUACGGGAGGCAGCAGUGGGGAAUUUUGCGCAAUGGGGGGAACCCUGACGCAGCAACGCCGCGUGCGGGAUGAAGGCCUUCGGGUUGUAAACCGCUUUCAGCAGGGAAGACAUAGACGGUACCUGCAGAAGAAGCUCCGGCUAACUACGUGCCAGCAGCCGCGGUAAUACGUAGGGGGCGAGCGUUAUCCGGAUUCAUUGGGCGUAAAGCGCGCGUAGGCGGCCGCCUAAGCGGAACCUCUAAUCCCGGGGCUCAACCUCGGGCCGGGUUCCGGACUGGGCGGCUCGAGUGCGGUAGAGGCAGGCGGAAUUCCCGGUGUAGCGGUGGAAUGCGCAGAUAUCGGGAAGAACACCGAUGGCGAAGGCAGCCUGCUGGGCCGCCACUGACGCUGAGGCGCGAAAGCUGGGGGAGCGAACAGGAUUAGAUACCCUGGUAGUCCCAGCCGUAAACGAUGGACGCUAGGUGUGGGGGGACCAUCCCCCCGUGCCGCAGCCAACGCAUUAAGCGUCCCGCCUGGGGAGUACGGCCGCAAGGCUAAAACUCAAAGGAAUUGACGGGGGCCCGCACAAGCAGCGGAGCAUGUGGUUUAAUUCGAAGCAACGCGAAGAACCUUACCUAGACUUGACAUCUCCUGCAUUACUCUUAAUCGAGGAAGUUCCUUCGGGAACAGGAAGACAGGUGGUGCAUGGUUGUCGUCAGCUCGUGUCGUGAGAUGUUGGGUUAAGUCCUGCAACGAGCGCAACCCCUAUUGUUAGUUGCUACCAUUAAGUUGAGCACUCUAGCGAGACUGCCCGGGUUAACCGGGAGGAAGGUGGGGAUGACGUCAAAUCAUCAUGCCCCUUAUGUCUAGGGCUACACACGUGCUACAAUGGCCGGUACAAAGAGAUGCUAAACCGUGAGGUGGAGCUAAACUAUAAAACCGGUCUCAGUUCGGAUUGUAGGCUGAAACUCGCCUACAUGAAGCUGGAGUUGCUAGUAAUCGCGAAUCAGAAUGUCGCGGUGAAUACGUUCCCGGGCCUUGCACACACCGCCCGUCA
rnacentral:rRNA from 1 species